CCUACGGGUGGCAGCAGUGAGGAAUAUUGGUCAAUGGGCGCGAGCCUGAACCAGCCAAGUAGCGUGAAGGAAGACUGCCCUACGGGUUGUAAACUUCUUUUAUAAAGGAAUAAAGUGAGGCACGUGUGCCUCUUUGUAUGUACUUUAUGAAUAAGGAUCGGCUAACUCCGUGCCAGCAGCCGCGGUAAUACGGAGGAUCCGAGCGUUAUCCGGAUUUAUUGGGUUUAAAGGGAGCGUAGAUGGGUUGUUAAGUCAGUUGUGAAAGUUUGCGGCUCAACCGUAAAAUUGCAUUUGAUACUGGCAGUCUUGAGUGCAGGUGAGGUAGGCGGAAUGCGUGGUGUAGCGGUGAAAUGCUUAGAUAUCACGAAGAACUCCGAUUGCGAAGGCAGCAUACUAAACUGCCACUGACAUUGAUGCUCGAAAGUGUGGGUAUCGAACAGGAUUAGAUACCCGAGUAGUC
rnacentral:rRNA from 1 species